rnacentral:rRNA from 1 species
UACGUAGGGUGCAAGCGUUGUCCGGAAUUAUUGGGCGUAAAGAGCUCGUAGGCGGUCUGUCGCGUCGGCUGUGAAACUCGGGCUCAACUCCGAGCUUGCAGUCGAUACGGGCAGGCUAGAGUUCGGCAGGGGAGACUGGAAUUCCUGGUGUAGCGGUGAAAUGCGUAGAUAUCGGGAGGAACACCUGUGGCGAAAGCGGCUCACUGGACCAUAACUGACGCUGAUGCACGAAAGCUGGGGAGCAAACAGG